rnacentral:rRNA from 1 species
GACGAACGCUGGCGGCGUGCUUAACACAUGCAAGUCGAACGGAAAGGCCCUGCUUUUGUGGGGUGCUCGAGUGGCGAACGGGUGAGUAACACGUGAGUAACCUGCCCUUGACUAUGGGAUAACUUCAGGAAACUGGGGCUAACACCGGAUAGGAGCUCCUGCCGCAUGGUGGGGGUUGGAAAGCUUCGGCGGUUGGGGAUGGACUCGCGGCUUAUCAGGUUGUUGGUGGGGUAGUGGCCUACCAAGGCUUGGACGGGUGGCCGGCCUGGGGGGGUGACCGCCCGCAUUGGGACUGAGGUGCGGCCCAGCCUCCUACGGGACGCAGCAGCGGGGAAUAUUGCACAAGGGGCGGCAGCAGGAUGCAGCACCCCGGCGGGCGGGAGGACGGCCUUCGGGUUGUAAGCCCCUUCCGCCUGUGACGAAGCGUGAGUGACGGUAAUGGGUAAGGAAGCACCGGCUAACUACGU